rnacentral:misc_RNA from 1 species
CCCAUCUACUCCUUCGGGAUUGCGGGGGGCGGAUGAUGGCCUCCCGUGCGCCUCGUCGCGCGGUUGGCAUAAAUGCCAAGUCCUCGGCGA